GGAUGCAAGGGUGAUCUGGCUGUGACAUCUGCCACUCCACUGAUUGCCAGGAUUGAUUCAGCGAUCUGGCUGGCCAGGCAGGUGUCCCCUUUCUCCCUCACUGCUCUGUGCACCUCCAUCCCGAAGCUGUGCUCAGUUGAUGAAAAUGACCAUCCCCAAUAGAGGAGGACUGGUCUUCAGUCAGGGGUAUAUGAAUAGCUGUGCUCUCCUGACAGAACCUCCAAACAAGCUCUCAAGAUUGGUGAAAAAGCUGGAUGCAGUGGCUCAUGCCUGUAAUCCCAACACUUUGCGGGGCUGAGG
rnacentral:snRNA from 1 species